rnacentral:rRNA from 1 species
AUUGAACGCUGGCGGCAUGCCUUACACAUGCAAGUCGAACGGCAGCGGGCCUUCGGGUGCCGGCGAGUGGCGAACGGGUGAGUAAUGCAUCGGAACGUGCCAUUGAGUGGGGGAUAACGUAGCGAAAGUUACGCUAAUACCGCAUAUUCUGUGAGCAGGAAAGCAGGGGACCGCAAGGCCUUGCGCUCUUUGAGCGGCCGAUGUCAGAUUAGCUAGUUGGUGAGGUAAAGGCUUACCAAGGCGACGAUCUGUAGCGGGUCUGAGAGGAUGAUCCGCCACACUGGAACUGAGACACGGUCCAGACUCCUACGGGAGGCAGCAGUGGGGAAUUUUGGACAAUGGCGCAAGCCUGAUCCAGCCAUGCCGCGUGAGUGAAGAAGGCC